rfam:Loxodonta africana unplaced genomic scaffold scaffold_11, whole genome shotgun sequence.
CCAAAGGCUCUUUUCAGAGCCACCCACCUAGUCACAAGAAAAGAG